CUGCGGGCGGGGGCGGGCCAUGGCCCUGCUACUGUGCCUGGGCCUGUCUGCAGCGCUGGCCCGCGGCUGCCUGCACUGCCACAGCAACUUCUCGGAAAAGUUCUCCUUCUACCGCCAUCACGUGAACCUCAAGUCCUGGUGGGUGGGCGACAUCCCCGUGUCGGGCUCGCUGCUCACCGACUGGGGCCAGGACACGAUGAAGGAGCUGCACCUGGCCAUCCCCGCGGAGAUCACCCGGGAGAAGCUGAACCAGGUGGCGAACGCCGUGUACCUGAAGAUGGAUCAGCUGUACCAGGGGAAGAUGUAUUUCCCCGGGUAUUUCCCCAAUGAGCUGCGAGCCAUCUUCCGGGAGCAGGUGCACCUCAUCCAGAAUGCCAUCAUCGAAAGCCGCAUUGACUGUCAGCGUCACUGUGGCAUCUUCCAGUACCAGACCAUCUCCUGCACCAACUGCACCGACUCGCACGUCAUCUGCUUCGGCUACAACUGCGAGUCGUCGGUGCAGUGGGAAACAGCCGUGCAGGGCCUCCUCCUAUACAUAAACAAGUGGCACAAGUACGUGAGUUUUAUCAGAGGCAGGGAGUGUGCUUUAAGCCCUCGUGGGUGAGUAUGAGCUGUGGCGGCCACAGGAGGCGGCACCUGGCCCCUGGGCUCCGGACCCCAGCCCUUCCUUCCGUGAGCACCUCUGGGCUUGGCUGGCGCCAGCGGGGCCAGACAGUGGUCAGAGCUGGGGAGGGCCCCCAAGAAUGGAUUUGCCCCAGUGCAGGGACCUGGGGGCCACCAGCCCUAAAGCUUGGGGCUAAGAGAGACUCUGUCGUGUCUUUCAGAGAGGACACGAACACAAGGUAAGCCACCCCUCACCCCCAAUCCCCGCCCUGUCCUCUCCAAAGCCCUGGCCAGGCCUUCUGAAAGGGAGGUGGGGACAGACUGGGAGGGGUUGGAUAGGGCAGACACAGCUGGCGGGGAUCCCUGGCACCUGGGACAAGCCAGACGUCACCUCUGCAACCACACCCAAGCGAUCGCUUCAUGAAUAAUCAUCAGCUGUCCUCCUCCCCUGGACGCACAGAACCACUCCGGCCUUUCUGAUAUCCCCGAGCUUCACGUGUCUUGAGCCCCCACACCUGGCCAACCUGACUCUAG